CAUUUGUCUCUCGUCCUARGGACGCUGCAGCCGGUCUGGAAGUGCAAGCGCGACGGCCUGAAGGGCGAUUGAUGGCAGGUGGCCGGAGGCUCGCCUCGUGCGGGUUUUCGGUUGUUAGCCGAAUCGUCGGUGGCCCGUCUCCAGACCGUGGUGUCGCGAGUCCCUCACGGGACUCCUCGUCUCCCACCCCGAGUCGCGGGACUGAGAGCCGCAAGGGUCUUUCGUUCUCGCCGUCGCACUCUUAAAGAGUGGGCGGAGAGGCGCGAGGCCCCGUUGGUGGUUCCGGACCCGCGGGGGACUGGAGGCUGGCAGCGAGUAGGUCGGUCACCCACCCGACCCGUCUUGAAACACGGACCAAGGAGUCUAACAUGUGCGCGAGUCAAUGGGUCUUGACUAGGCCCAGGGGCGCAAUGAAAGCGAAGGACUGCCCAGCGCAGUCUGAGUGGGGAUCCCUCCUCCUUCGUGGGGGGGGCGCACCCACGACCCGUCCUAUCCGGCUCGCCGGUUGGGCGGAGU
rnacentral:rRNA from 1 species